rnacentral:rRNA from 1 species
UGACGGAGCAACGCCGCGUGAGUGAUGAAGGCUUUCGGGUCGUAAAACUCUGUUGUUAGGGAAGAACAAGUGCUAGUUGAAUAAGCUGGCACCUUGACGGUACCUAACCAGAAAGCCACGGCUAACUACGUGCCAGCAGCCGCGGUAAAUA